UACGAAGGGGGCUAGCGUUGCUCGGAAUCAUUGGGCGUAAAGCGCACGUAGGCGGCUUGGCAAGUCGGAUGUGAAAUCCCUCGGCUCAACCAAGGAAGUGCAUCCGAAACUGCCGAGCUUGAGUACUUAAGAGGAUCGCGGAAUUCCCGGUGUAGAGGUGAAAUUCGUAGAUAUCGGGAGGAACACCAGUGGCGAAGGCGGCGAUCUGGGAAGAUACUGACGCUGAGGUGCGAAAGCGUGGGGAGCAAACAGG
rnacentral:rRNA from 1 species